UUACCUCGUCUUCUGGUUUUUCUGCCAAGCUAGCUCCCUCCUCAGCGCUGUGCUGGGAGCGCAAUGCAGACGGGUUUUUACGCCGAAUGGACCCACGGGAUGAAUCCGUAAUGCUCUGGAUCUAUUGUAAUAAAAAAAACAGGAAGGGCAGAAGCAUCAACAUGCCUCCGUCAUGGACAAUCCACCACACAUCUAUGUGGCCUUCAGUGAAGCGCUCUCCAUUGGACGGGUAGCUGGAGAUAUUCUUAGGAACCAACAAGGCCAUACUGGCUACAGUCGUCUCUCUAACCACCUCUGCACAGGGACGCAAGAAUGAAACAAACAUUUCUGGCUGUUUCCAGUUUCGGGGCCAGCUGACCAUCACAGUGUUGUGCUUCAGACCUCCCAGCCCUCCGACCUGGAUCAGGUGGGAGGUCCCAUCCCUCAGAUUGGAGGAGAUGACCACCUGAGAGAAGCCCUUCACUUUCUCUGCCUCCAUCAACUUACGCAAAGACUAUAAAUACACAAAGAGCGGAAUACAGCUGUUAGAGUGUGUGAAAAACUGUAGACACAGAAGGUUUUGUGAUAUAAUAAUCUGCUGCAUUUGUAUCACAAGUCAAAGUGUAUAGAGAUUAGAGGACGGACCUGAUCUGCCCUCUGGGCCUCAGUGUAGUUGUCGAGGAAGGUUCCGUGAACUGAGGUGCCAACGAUGGUCAGACCUUUCCCUGCUUUCAGCUGAUUGGUCAGAGAGAGCAGACGAGGCUGCUCUACGUUCUGCUCAGCAUCCACACUCACCAGAACCAGGAUCUGAGGCCUGACGAAAAGCACCAAAGGAUUGUGUUUUAGAUUCAACAGGUGAUGUAAGCUUAACCUGUUUAAAUAGUUUAAAAGUUGUAGAUGUGUACUGACCUCCAGUUCUUGGUGUGUGGCGGUCCUUCCUCCAGCCUCAUGAGAGCGAAGCGUGCAGCGCUGAGAGAGAUGCCACGUAUCCCAUCGCCCCACUCCUUCUCAGCUCUGUGACGUACCACAUUAUUGGAUUGGCACAUUGCGUAGGUAUCAUGAUUUAAGUACAUGCUCACUAGCAUUUAUGAUAAAUUAAAGCAAGCCCAAUCCCUGCCAUUCAGCUAAAACAAUAACCACUGGCAGAAUAAUUGGAUGUGGGUUGCUGCAACACAAUCUUAUUCUUGUUUUCGGUCCAUGUCCUACGCAGUCAUGAUGAAUACUUACCCACAAAACUCAAUGUAUUUGUAGAUACAGGUGGCGAUGCCCAUGGCGACUAUGGCGUAAUACCAGGAACAGAUGAACAUGAGCGACAGGCACAGGCUCAUACCCAAGAAAGACAGAGCCCUGCAGGGGACAGGAAGUCACACGCUUGGUCUAAUUGGGAAUUUCCAGGAACACAGCUUAUAUAUCUAUAACCUGUGAAAGUUUAGUCUGCUGCUGCUUAACUCAUACUGAAAAACAGCUUCUAAUUGUGAAUCAGGUGCACACAGCACCAGUUAAUAUUGCCCACGAAUUUGAUCUCACAGGUGCCUGCUGUUCUCAAACAAACCAAUGUUUCUCCUUAACUAAUUACAAAAGUGAUGUGCCAUUAGUUCCGAGCAUGGUUUGAUAGCAUAUGUCGUGAAAAUAAUAACCUUUUAUUGCACAGCAGAUUGCACAUUCAGUGACACUGAUAUGUACAAUGACACAGAAACUCACCAGUGGUAGAACUUAAAGCGUGGCCUCCAGUUCGGCGUCCUGAGCAAAGUCUGCAGCGCACAGGCAAGAUUGACAAACAUGUAGCACAUCAGGAAGAACCUAAAGAGAGAAGUGAGAGAGGAAGAGAAAUAUACAGAAAAGAAAAAAGACAGACAAGUGACACAUAAAGAAGAAUCCCAACUGCUGUGGGCCUGCACAGCAAUGACCAUACACUGUGUGUGAAGUUACAGAGUACGCACAUGGAGAGGAUGGGUGCGACUGCAUCCAGGGAGGCAAUGAUGAUGCCAAUCUCACAGAUGCUGGCUGUGAGCAGAAGGGCCCAGGUGGGCUCCCCAUUGGCUUUGCCGUGCCCAAACACCUGCAGCAACAUCAAAGGAUUAAAUUAAAUCACAUUUUAUGGCACCUUCUUGGGCAGCAAGGGCUAUACUAAUAAUGUAUGAGAUUUUAAUAAUGUGAUAAUCAUAUGUGAAAGCAACAGAAAAAACAAAUGUAAGGCUUUAUCUGAAACACAUUUCUGCUUUUGUGACAAAGACGCAUACUAAAGAUGUGUACUCACUCUAAGAAAUGGGAUGAUGCCAUCUCGAGCAAUGGCCUGUAGGAGACGUGGAGCUCCAGUCAGACUCUGAAGCCCAGCUCCACAAGUGGAAAAGAAGGAGCCAAACACGAUGACCCAUGGAGACGGCCAUGCCAGAGUCCCAAUCACCAGGUUACCAUUGACCCCUUCACCAAACCUGUGGAGAGAGGCGAAGACAAAAUACUCCAAAGCUGGAAUAACAAACACUGACUUUUACACCACUCAUUUCAUCAGAUAAUCUGGAUCUAAUAUGAUUAUAUAACAAUAACAUCUAUUUAAUGUUCUUAAACUUUUAUAUGACCAGACCAUUUGCUAAGCCUCGUCCCUUUUAGGUUACUGCUACUUUAUAAAACAGGGGACAGGUUAACCUUUUUUAAAAACUUUUUAGCUUAGAAAUUUUCAAAAACAAUGGGUCCUUCAUUUCAGACAGAGGUACACAAAAAGCAGGCUUCUCAUUUCUAGCCCGCAACUGUUGACUGAAAUGGCAAUUGUCAGUUGUAGCUUGAAAGCUAGCUAAUUAACUAACAUUAGCUCCACACUCCUACACUUCCUCUGGCUGACCUUGUUCAUUGUUAUAAUGUUUUCAGCUCAUUUUUAAAACAAGAACCCUGUAAAGAGUUCCUACACGUGCACAUUAUGGCCAAAUACAUGAUGUCGUGCUAAAAGACUGAGGCUAAAGCCGCAAGUCCCAGGCAAAAAGUCAGCAGUCACCAGCUGAUGAUCCAUGUGGAUGACAAAUAAACACACUUAUAUUGCAGUGUAGAGCAAGAUAAUCCUAGUAUUAUUAGCAUUACAAGGAAAAAAUAUUAGACUGUUAUUCAUUUUGACUGCUUCGCCUUGACAAGAAAGAAGUUACAUAAAUGUGUUAUUGUUGAACAUAUAUGGAUUAAUAGAGGCUAAAAGAAAGAAACCAGAAUCCAAACUAUCUGAGCAACUUCAUCCCCAUAAACACAGCCUCAACAUGCAGAGAAAGCAAAAACAUUUGACAAGCCUGCAAUGCUUAGUUACUGUUAAGCUAUUACUGGACAAUUGAUGUUUGGAGGAGUGGUUUAGCAAACUGUUGAUUCUUUUGUUUGACAUCAUUUGAUUAUAGUGACUUGAAAUGUAUAAAAAGCUACAUGAUUUGACUUACUUGUCCCUCAGAACUACUCCUUCUAUGCAGGCGCCAAACAGCACCACACAGGACAUGUCUGGGGAAACGCUGUUAGGAAAGGUAUUGUUGGAAAUUUCUGAUACAAAUAUUAUGAGAGCAUACAAAAGGUUAUAUAAAAGUCAUCAAUCAGCACUUCCAGAUCCACACAGUUUCUGUUCAAAGGACCUAGGAUACACACAGUGGAUGUGGUGCUGAUGGCUGCAAUCGUGCCGAUGGGGAUCGACUUCUGAGCGUCACGCAGGUCUCCAGAGCGGUUGGAGCCUGCCAUGAUACCUGUGAGUGGAUCAAGAUGAAAUAAUGAGGAGCUUUGUGCUUUUACACCUGCAUGGGAAAAAAAAGUUGACAUGGCGAACUUCUUAGCAAAUGGUUGCUUAUUUACACAUCCAGUAAAUUAAACUGCAGUAAAGGUGAGAUAAAAGGCCUUGAAAUGCUCAAUAGUGGUGAGGGGAACUGCGGAGUCUGUGAUUAUGCUUUGUAGGUUCAUCACAACCACUAUCACAUUACAAGUAGUCAUUUGAUAUAUUAUUAAUAUGAAAAUAUAGAUCAGAGCACCUAAUAAUAAUUUUGAUAAGGACAGCCUCCCAGCUGGGUGAAGACUUCCUCUUAUCCCUUCUGACGUCUCUUCAAUAGGCCUUUAUGGUUCUAACCUGUGACAGAUGGGAAGUAUAUCCCGACCAGCAGGGUGAAGAAGCUGGUGAUGUCAGCUAGGACGUAGCGGUUGGAGCUGGUUGUGGGAUUGUCUGGAUCUGCGUCUGAUGCUAUCCCACGCUUCUCCAGCAACAUCCCUUUUUCCAGGUAGUUACCAAACAGGUUCUCUAAAAGACAGAAGAGCAUUUAAAUAAGCAUGUGAGGUGGAUGGGAUGCCAAAUGAGUAAAUGGAUUGACCCUCAGAGGGUUUUGUCAUUUACAUUGAUAAGGCAUCUCCUACCUGCCAGGAUGCCGCUAGUGACCCCCGGGAUGCCCUGUAUCUCUGUGACAUUGUUGUUGGUAAAGUAUUCGUCACAAGUGGCAUUAAGGGAGUCAGAAUCACAGAAGGACCUCCACAGUUUGGUGGUGAUGGUUUCAUUGUCUAUUUCGAUGAUUUUUGCACAGAUGUCGUAUGAUUUAGAAAGAAGAGUUCGAUUUCCCAGGAGGCAGACGCUGUAAAGAAAGUCAACAAAGGAAUCAUUGUCAAAAAAUUGGAUCAUCACCGGGAGACUUUGACCAGUGGAUGAACCAGUCACUUACGGGAAGACAGGGGGGUCGAUGGCGGUCUUGAUGACUCCGGCAUAAACAGCCAUGAUAGAGAGGAUGACACAGGCCAGGAAGACCAGCGCCAGCUUGUUCACAUAUUUGACCCCUACAAACACCACCAGUGCCAUUAAGCUCAGUACAAUGGUGCCGUACACCCGCAUGUUGUUGAGGAGAGCUAACUCUGCCUCAGGCCCCUCCAAGCCCUCGAUCUUGAAGAUGGCUGCCUGAGGAACAAUGUAAAUCUACAAGAAUGGAAAGAUGGAGGGAAAAAGGUGGGGAGAAAGGAAGUAGAGGGAGGAGAGUACGGCAAGGUGUGGUGGAGUAUGGUGGUGAUGGGUGGAAGUACAAGGAAUAAAUAUAGUACACUGAUGUUAGAAUGCUACUUAAAUUUGAGCUUAAAUUUUUAUACAUUUGGUUUCCACAGUAAUGAAGAGCUGCCACAGCGAAACAAAAAUUAUGUUCACAAACCCUUGUUAUAAUGUCAUAUAAUAAUUUAAAGAGUCUGUUAAAACUAGAGCUGAAAUAAUUAAUUAAUCUACAGAAAAGUACUUAGCAACGACUUUGAUAAUUGAUUGUUUCAGUAAUUUUUCAAGCAAAAAUGUCACAUCUUCCUGCCUACAGCUUCUCAAAUGUGACGAUUUGAUGCUUUUGUUUGUCAUAUGUGAUAUUAAACUCAAUAUUUUAGGGUU